rnacentral:rRNA from 1 species
AUUGAACGCUGGCGGCAGGCCUAACACAUGCAAGUCGAACGAGUGGCGGACGGGUGAGUAAUGUCUGGGAAACUGCCCGAUGGAGGGGGAUAACUACUGGAAACGGUAGCUAAUACCGCAUACCAUCGGAUGUGCCCGGAUGGGAUUAGCUUGUAGGUGAGGUAACGGCGCACCUAGGCGACGAUCCCUAGCUGGUCUGAGAGGGUGACCGGCCACACUGGGACUGAGACACGGUCCAGACUCCUCCGUGAGGCCGCAGUGGGGAAUAUUGCACAGUGGGCGCACGCCUGAUGCAGCCAUGCCGCGUGUAUGCAGAAGGCCUUCGGGUUGCAAAGGACUUUCAGCGGGGAGGCGUUACCCGCAGCAGAAGCACCGGCUAACUCCUUGCCAGCAGCCGCGGUAAUAC